rnacentral:lncRNA from 1 species
AUGGCAAGAGGGAGAAGACAAAAUCGAUACAUGAAGAAACUGUUCAUCCUUCGAGGUUUGCCAGGAGUUGGAAAGACAACGAUGGCAGAAAAACUCUGGGACAAACAUGCAAGACUUGGACUGAAAGGAGAAAUUUUCUCCGCUGACAGGUACCAUGAAAGAACCAACUACACCAAAGGAAACUUUCAACGCAGCCAUCAGCAGAAUAGAGAGGAUGUUUUUAAAGCCAUGAACAGAGGUGUGGAUCCGAUCAUCGUUGACAACACAAACAUUUCUCUUUGGGAGAUGUGGCCCUAUAUCCACAUGGGGAUUGGACAGAAGAACUAUUACAUCAGAAUGAUGGAACUGCCUAAAAUCUCCAUCAACAAGCUGUACAGACGGUGUCGUGGUAAAAUCCCCAAACGUAAGUUCAGGUCCUUUGAGGUUCGCUGGAAAAAAGCUGACAGCAUCUGGCAUGUACUUAACGACGGCUACUCCAAAAAACGCUGGAAGAGAAGCAAAGAGGAAUGGAACGUCCAGUGAUGAAGACAUGCUGGUCUUCUCCCCACCCCAAAGUCUCCAAAAUACGGAACAAAUUCACCGGGGUGGCAGGGUAGCCUAGUGGUUAGAGCGUUGGACUAGUAACCGGAAGGUUGCAAGUUCAAACCCCCGAGCUUAACAGGCAGUUAACCCACUGUUCCUAGGCCGUCAUUGAAAAUAAGAAUGUGUUCUUAACUGACUUGCCUAGUUAAAUAAAGGUAAAAUAAAAAAAGAAAACGUACAGUAUUAUUAUAGAGCCCUUAUUGCAUGGAACUUCCUUCCAUCUCAUAUUGCUCAAAUAAACAGCAAACCUGGUUUCAAAAAACAGUUAAAGCAACACUUCUCGGCACAACGCCGAGAGGUAUUUGACCUAGAUAGUUUGUGUGUAUGCAUUGAUAUGUAGGCCACGUGUGCCUUUAAAAAAAAUGUCUGUCCUUGAGCUGUUCUUGUCUAAUGAUGUUCUGUAUUAUGUAAUUCUGUAUUAUGUCAUUCUAUAUGAUGUCAUUCUGUAUGAUGUCAUUCUGUAUUAUGUCAUUCUGUAUUAUGUCAUUCUAU